rnacentral:pre_miRNA from 11 species
UCCCUGGUGUGAGCGUAUGUGCCUUUGGACUACAUCGUGGACGCAGCACCAUGCAGUCCACGGGCAUAUACACUUGCCUCAAGGU